rnacentral:rRNA from 1 species
GAUGAACGCUAGCGGCAGGCUUAAUACAUGCAAGUCGAGGGGCAGCAGUCCCGCAGCAAUGCGGGAGCUGGCGACCGGCAAACGGGUGCGGAACACGUACAGAACCUUCCUUCGAGCGGGGAAUAGCCCAGAGAAAUUUGGAUCAAUACCCCAUAGCAUUACGAAGUGGCAUCACUUUGUAAUUAAAGAUUUAUCACUCGAAGAUGGCUGUGCGGCUGAUUAGGUAGUUGGCGGAGUAACGGCCCACCAAGCCUUCGAUCAGUAACUGGUGUGAGAGCACGACCAGUCACACGGGCACUGAGACACGGGCCC